ensembl:lncRNA
GAACUGCCGUUAAUCCUCAUGCAUCCAAAACCCACAGUGUGUAAGUAUCAACAUUAUCCUAUGAAACACUUCCUCCUACCUGUAAAUCCUCCCUGUGCAGCAACUCAUUCAUGAAUUAUUCUAUGGGCCUUCUUCACCUCAGCAGCCAUCUUGGUUCCAUCUUUGACCUGAACGCUAGCUGGGUGGUAGAACUCAAUGGGGAACCCUGCAUUCAGGUGGACCUAAACUCAAGAUGGCCACUAGGUGUUUAAGUUCUUGAAGAUGUUACAUAUGUUUCCCUGUGUCUUCUCACUCUGCAGAGUCAUGGAGGAGAAUAAUCAAAUGACCCUCCAUUGUUAAGAAAGGAUGCCAACCUGGCAGAGAUAUAGGUGUGGAAGAAGGCAGAGGAAGACAAAAGAAUAGGCAACGAGAGGAACACUAUUAUGUCUAUUUUUUUGUAUGGAAGAUGUACGAGUUUGAUGUAAUUAAACCAAAAUGACCGAGUGCAAUUACAGAAUACACUAUUCUACACGUUCCACAAGCUUAUUCAUAGUUAUUUACAGAAUUUAUGUUAUUCUCUCACACACACACACACACACACACACACACACACACACACACACAAUAACAGUACUUCCUGUGUGGCUAGGAUGUGAGCUGACUAGCAGCCACUGCUUAAAGAAGUGAGCUUACAGCUCUCAUUUGCAAAGAGGUUGUAUGAGGGACUAUUAGUUUGCACUUCCACACAAAAGAUGUUGCACUGAAAAUCCUGCUGUUUUAUACGACCAACAAACUCUACGAACUACCACUCAACGGCAG